UCGAUGAAGAACGCAGCGAAAUGCGAUACGUAAUGUGAAUUGCAGAAUUCAGUGAAUCAUCGAAUCUUUGAACGCAUAUUGCGCUCUCUGGUAUUCCGGAGAGCAUGCUUGUUUGAGUAUCAGUAAACACCUCAACUCCCCUUCUUUUUGAAAUGGGAGCUGGACUUGAGUGAUCCCAACGCUUUUCUCACCGAAAAGCGGCGGGUUACUUGAAAUGCAGGUGCAGCUGGACUUUUCUCUGAGCUAUAAGCAUAUCUAUUUAGUCUGCCUAAAAACAGAUUAUUACCUUUGCUGCAGCUAACAUAAAGGAGAUUAGUUCUUGUGCUGACUGAUGCAGGAUUCACAGAGACAGCUUCGGCUGGCCUUUGUAAACUCGAUCUCAAAUCAAGUAAGACUACCCGCUGAACUUAA
rnacentral:rRNA from 1 species